UACGGGGGGGAGCAAGCGUUGUUCGGAUUUACUGGGCGUAAAGGGCGCGUAGGCGGCGCAACAAGUCACUUGUGAAAUCUUCAGGCUUAACCUGAAGCGGCCAAGUGAUACUGUCGUGCUAGAGUGCGGAAGGGGGCAACUGGAAUUCUUGGUGUAGCGGUGAAAUGCGUAGAUAUCUGGAGGAACACCGGUGGCGAAGGCGGCAUCCUGGACCGGCAUUGACGCUGAGGCGCGAAAAGCUAGGGGAGCAAACGGGG
rnacentral:rRNA from 1 species